AUUGAACGCUGGCGGCAUGCCUUACACAUGCAAGUCGAACGGCAGCACGGGUGCUUGCACCUGGUGGCGAGUGGCGAACGGGUGAGUAAUACAUCGGAACAUGUCCUGUAGUGGGGGAUAGCCCGGCGAAAGCCGGAUUAAUACCGCAUACGAUCUACGGAUGAAAGCGGGGGACCUUCGGGCCUCGCGCUAUAGGGUUGGCCGAUGGCUGAUUAGCUCGUUGGUGGGGUAAAGGCCUACCAAGGCGACGAUCAGUAGCUGGUCUGAGAGGACGACCAGCCACACUGGGACUGAGACACGGCCCAGACUCCUACGGGAGGCAGCAGUGGGGAAUUUUGGACAAUGGGCGAAAGCCUGAUCCGGCAAUGCCGCGUGUGUGAAGAGGGCCUUCGGGUUGUAAAGCACUUUUGUCCGGAAAGAAAUCCUUGGCUCUAAUACAGCCGGGGGAUGACGGUACCGGAAGAAUAAGCACCGGCUAACUACGUG
rnacentral:rRNA from 1 species